GGGCCUAUAGCUCAGCUGGCUAGAGCGUGCCCCUGAUAAGGGCAAGGUCGGUAGUUCGACUCUACCUAGGCCCACCA
rnacentral:tRNA from 1 species